rnacentral:tRNA from 1 species
GGCCCUGUAGUGAAGUUCAUGUUGAGUUGCAAGCUCAUUGAUGCAUAUUGAAAAUGUGCCGGGGUCU